AGAGCCCGAUGCAGGGCUCAAUCAUGACCUGAGCCGAAGUCAGAUGCUCAACUGACUGAGCCACCCGGGCGCCCAAGUAACUAUUAUAUAAAGGUCAGCAUUCUCACACAAAAGUAACAAUUAGUACAUAUAAUGGCAAAAUGAACCAGUUUAUGAUAACCUGAAGUAUAAACUACUCCAAAACUAAUAAAAGAUCUUUUUACGAAAAAAAAUUAUACUAUCAGGAGACAAAGAAGUCCUCACUAUUUGGAGAUAGAUUUGUAGAUGGGAAGACAUAUCAGGAAAAUAUCAAUUCUUCCCAAAUAAUCUGUACAUUAAAUGAUUUAUGCAAUGAUUUUCACUGGAACUUGACAAGCUUAACCUAAAAUGCAUAUGAAAAAGCAAAACAGCCCUGAAUGUUAAGACCCCUUUAAAGGAGAAGAAUGUGAGGGACAAGAUGAAUUAUAAAGCCAUAGUUGACUCUGGAAUGUAGCAUAGUGUCUGACACAGUACUCCAUGAAUUUUUGCUGGGUAGAUUGAUAAUUAGGGGAUGAAUGGACUUGCGUGGACACACAGAUGUUACGGUAACCUUGGGUCCUACGUGACCUUAUAUUACCUUUUGUCUGGAGUCAGGAUUAACUCUGGAACUGGUAGGGUUGCAGGAGGGCUGAACUUGAAGGUGAGGGCUACUCAGAUUGCAAAGAUCAGGGAAGGUGGGCUCUGACAAAGGGCAGUACAGAGAGCUAAUUUGUUUCAUUUGUCUACAGAUACUUUAAAGUUUUUUUUUUUUUUUUAAGUUUGUUUUUGAGAGAGAGAAUCCCAAGCAGGCUCUGCACUUUUAGCAUAGAGCCCGAUGUGGGGCUUGAUCCCCUGGUCUCAUGAGACCUUGACCUGAGCCAAGAUCAAGAUUCAGACGCUUAACCAAGUGAAACACCCAAGCACCCAUAAGUUUUUCUUUUUAAUAUAAUUUUCCUGGGGUGCCUGGGUGGCUCAGUUGGUUGAGCGUCCAACUUCAGCUCAGGUCAUGAUCUCACAGCUCGUGAGUUUGAGCCCUGUGUUGGGCUCUGUGCUGACACCUCGGAGCCUGGAGCCUGCUUUGGAUUCUGUGUCUCCCUCUCUUUCUGCCCGUAACCUAGGGCAUCCUGUCUCUGUCUCUGUCAAAAAUAAAUAAACAUUAAAAAAAAAUCUUUUUUAAUAUAAUUUUCCUAAGAUCAACUUAAAAACAAAAUACUUACCUUUGAGAGAGAAAGAGAGCAUGGGGGAUGGGUAGAUACAGAUGGAGAGAGAAUCCCAAGCAGUCUCUGUGCUGUGAGCACAGAGCCUGAUGCAGGGCUCAGUCUUAUGAACUGUGAGAUCACCACCUGAGCUGAAGUCAAGAGUUGGAUGCCCAGACUGAGUCACCCAGGUGUCCCCUUUCUUUUUAAAAAUUUGUUUUGUUGGGGCGCCUGGGUGGCUCAGUCGGUUAAGCGUUCGACUUCAGCUCAGGUCAUGAUCUCACGGUCCGUGGGUUCGAGCCCUGCAUCAGGCUCUGUGCUGACAGCUCAGAGCCUGGAGCCUGUUUCGGAUUCUGUGUCUCCCUCUCUCUGUGACCCUCCCCCGUUCAUGCUCUGUCUCUCUCUGUCUCAAAAAUAAAUAAACGUUUAAAAAAAUUAAAAAAAAUUUGUUUAUGUUGAGAGAGCGUGGGUCGGGGAGGGGCAGAGAGAGGGACAGGAAGAGAGAGAAUCCCAAGCAGGCUUUGCAAUAUCAAUGCAGAGCCUGACGCAGGGCUUGAACCCAUAAAACCGUGAGAUCAUGACCUGAGCCAAAACAGAGUUGGAUGCUAAACUGACUGAGCCACUCAGGUGCCCCCUAUCUUAAUAAUUUUUAAAUGUACAGUUCAGUGGUAAAUACAUGCAUAAUGUACAACGAUCACCACCAUCCAUUCACAGAACUUUCUUCAUCUUGUAGAAACUGGAACUAUAUCCAUUAACAACACAGCCCCACUUUCCACACCUCUUACCCAAUCGCUGACAACCACAAUUCUACUUUGUCUCUAUGAUUUUGAUCAAGUACCUCAUAUAAAUAGAAUCAUGCGGUAUUUGUCUUUUUGUGGUUGGCUUCUUAGUAUAAUGUUUCCAAGAUUCAUCUUUGUUGUAUCAUAUGUUAGAAUUCUCUUCCUUUAUAAGGCUGAAUAAUAUUCCAUUAUAUGAUUAUUCCACAUUUUGCUUAUGUAAUCAUCCAUCGAUGGAUACUUGGGUUGUUCCCAUGCUUUGACUGUUGUGAAUAAUGCUGCCUAAAACAUGGGUGUUCAAAUAUCUGUUUGGGAUGCUGCUUUCAGUUCUUUUGGGUAUAUAUUUAGAAGUGGAAUUGUUGGAUUAAAUAGCAAUUCUAUUUUUUAUUUUUUGAUGGAUCACCAUACUAUUUAACACAGUGACUGUACCAUUUUACAUUCCCACCAACAGUGUACCAGGGUCUAAUUUCUCCACAUCUUCACAAACUUGUUAUUUCUGUUUUUGUGACAGUGGUCAUCCUAAUGAGCAUGAAAUGGUAUCUAAUUGGUUUUUUUUUAAUGUUUUUUAAAAAUUAUUUUAAAAUAUUAAUUUAUUUUGUAAUUUAUAUCCAAGUUCGUUAGCAUAUAGUGCAACAAUGAUUUCAGGGGUAGAUUCCUUAAUGCCCCUUACCCAUUUAGCUCAUCCCCCUAUCCCACAACCCCUCCAGCAGCCCUCUGUUUGUUCUCUAUAUUUAAGAGUCUCUUAUGUUUUGUCCCCCUCCCUGUUUUUAUAUUAUUUUUGCUUCCCUUAUGUUCAUCUGUUUUGUAUCUUGAAUUCCUCAUAUGAGUGAAGUCAUAUGAUAUUUAUCUUUCUCUGACUAAUUUUGCUUAGCAUAAUACCCUCUAGUUCCACUCACAUAGUUGCAAAUGGCAAGAUUUCAUUCUUUUUGAUUGCCGAGUAAUACUCCACUGCAUGUAUGUAUGUAUGUGUGCGUAUAUACACACAUGUACAUACACCACAUCUUUAUCCAUUCAACCGUCAAUGGACAUUUGGGCUCUUUCCAUACUUUGACUAUUGUCAAUAGCGCUGCUAUAAACACUGUCCCUUUAAAAUAGCACACCUGUAUCCCUCGGAUAAAUACCUUGUAGUGCAACUGCUGGGUCGUAAGGUAGUCCUAUUUUUAAUUUUUUGAGGAACAUCCACACUCUUCCAGAGUGGCUGCACCAGCUUGUAUUCCCACCAACAAUGCAAAAGAGAUCCUCUUUCUCCACAUCCUCGCCAACAUCUGUUGUUGCCUGAGCUGUUAAUGUGAGCCGUUCUGACCAGUGCGAAGUGGUAUCUCAUUAUGGUUUUGAUUUGUAUUUCCCUGAUGAUGAGUGAUGUUGAGCAUCUUUUCACGUGUCAGUUGGCCAUCUGGAUGUCUUUGUCUGUUCAUGUCUUUUGCCCAUUUCUUCACUGGAUUAUUUGUUUUUUGGGUUUUGAGUUUGAUAAGUUCUUUAUAGAUUUGGAUACUAACCCUUUAUCUGAUAUGCCAUUUGCAAAUAUCUUCUCCCAUUCCAUUGGUUUCCUUUUAGUUUUGCUGAUUGUUUCCUUCCCUGUGCAGAAGCUUUUUAUUUUGAUGAGGUCCCAAUAGUUCAUUUUUGCUUUGGUUUCCCUUGCCUCUGGAGACAUGUUAAGUAAGAAGUCCCUGUGGCCAAGGUCAAAGAGGAUUUUGCCUGCUUUCUUCUCGAGGAUUUUGAUAGCUUCCUGUUUUACAUUUAGGUCUUUCAUACAUUUUGAGUUUAUUCUUGUGGAUGGUGUAAGAAAGUGGUCCAGGUUCAUUCUUCUGCAUGUCGCUGUCCAGUUUUCCCAGCACCAUUUGCUGAAGAGACUGUCUUUAUUCCAUUGGGUAUUCUUUCCUGCUUUGUCAAAGAUUAGUUGGCCAUAUGUUUGCAGGUCCAUUUCUAGGUUCUCUAUUCUGUUCCAUUGAUCUGAGUGUUUUUGUGCCAACGUUUAUUUUGUUUUUGAAAGAGACCGCAAGCCAGGGAGGGGCAGAGAGAAAGGGACAAAGGAUUCAAAGUGGGCUGCAAGCUGACAGCAGCAAGCCUGAUGUGGAGCUUGAACUCGUGAACCAUGAGCUGAAGUCAGAUGCUCAACUGACUGAUCCACCCAGGUGCCCCUCAUUGUAGUUUUGAUGUACAUUUCCCUAAUGAUUGGUGAUGUGUAACAUCUUUUCAUGUAUAUAUUAACUAUUUGUAUAUCUUCCUUGGAGAAAUGUCUUGUGCCCUUGAAUCAGGUUGUUUUUUUGUUUUUGAGUUUUAUGAGUUCUCUAUGCAUUCUGGAUAUUAAACUCUUAUCAGAUAUUUGAUUUGCCAAUAUUUUCUCCCAUUCCGUGGGUUGCCUUUUUACUCUGAUAAUAGUAUUUUGUUUUUGUUUUCUUUUUCCCCAAGUUUUUUUUUUUAAUGUUCAUUUAUUUUGAGAGAGAGUGUGUGCGAGUGGGGGAGGGGAAAAGAUUGAGAGAACGAGAGCAAGAGCGAGAGAGAGAGAGAAUCCCAAACAGGCUCCACACUGUCAGCACAGAGCACAGUGUGGGGCUCGAUCUCACCAACUGUGUGAUCAUGACCUGAGCUGAAAUCAAGAGUCAGACGCUUAACCGACUAAGCCACCCAGGCACCCCUUUUCCCCCAAAUUUUUAUUUGAAUUCUAACUAGUUAUCAUGCAGUGCAGUACUAAUUCCAGGUGUAGAAUUUAGUGAUUCAUCACUUCCAUACAACACCUGGUACCCAUCACAAGUGCCCUUCUUAAGACCCAUCACCCAUUUAACCUACCCCUGCCCCCACCUCCUAUUCCAAUAACUAUCAGUGUGAUAACAGUAUCUUUUGGUGCACAAAAUUUUUAAGUUUUCAGGAAGUCCAGCUUGUCUAUUUUUUCUUUUGUUGCCAAUGCCUUUUAUGUCCUAUUCAAAAAGUCAUUGACAAACCAGCGUUGUAUCCAAAGCAUUUUUGCAUGUGUUGUUUCAUUUGUUCAUCAGAGAUGUGUAAAGAAGGUUUGUUUCAAUUCAGUGAUUAUUUAUAGGGCAGGGUUAUUUUUGUUUUAUUUUUGAGAGAGCGAAGGAUAAAGGGAGAGAGAGAAGCUUAAGCAGGCUCGACAAUCAGCACAGAGCCUGAUGUGAGGCUCAGUCACACGACCCUGGGAUCAUGAACUGAGCCAAAAUCAAAAGUUGGAUGCUCAACUGACUGAGCCGCCCAGGUGCCCCUUGUUUCGUUUUUUUAAUGGAGCAGAUUUGUGCCAGGUUUUGUAUUGGCUCUUGGGGAACCAAAGAUAAGACAAAGAUGCUGACCUCAAGUAACAUCAACAGAUAUCAUGGGGAUAUACCACCAGAAGUGUAAAUGUGAAAACAGUGAUUAAGGGAGAGACACAGAUUAUUGAGAUAUGGUAAUGAUAGAUGGUGAUGGCAUUCAUAGGCUUUGUUAUGUUUUCCCCCCUUUGAUCUCUAGCUUUUUCUGAGCUAUAAUUAGAAUAUAACAUUGUAUAAGUUUAAGAUGUACAAUGUAUUGAUUUGAUGUGUACCAUUUGUAUUACAAGAAAGAAUUGGUGUUUAUGUUAUUUUACUUUUUUAAUGUUUAUUUAUUUUUGAGAGACCGAGUGUGAGCGGGGAGGGGCAGAGAGAGAGGAGACACAGAAUUUGAAGCAGGCUCUGGGCUGUCAGCACAGAGCCUGACAUGGGGCUUGAACCCAUGAACUGUGAGAUCAUGACCUGAGCCGAAGUUGGAUGCUUAACCGACUGAGCCACCCAGGUGCCCAGGAAUUUUUGUUUAUUACACCAUUUUGAAAUUAUAUUUCACAAUUGAUAAUGGCUGAUUUGGUAUGUUUUUGAAAAGUACAUUUUCCACAGUUAAAAUUUUUUCAUCUGAACAAUCUGAGUUAUGUGUUAAAACAUUCAGCCUAGGUCACCCUCCUUGAUAUUGUGAUUAAUCUGUGUGCAAAAUUUGGCCCCUUGCAUCUAAAGUGCAAUUUUGCUUAUUAGAAGUGUUUUAUUUUCAAAAAGUGUUUGUUUAUUUUGAGAGAGAAAAAGCACGUGCAUGAGUGGGGGAGGGGCAGAGAGAGAGAGUGAGAGAGAGAAUCCCAAGCAGGCUCUGCACUGUUAGCACAGAGCCUGACAUGGGGCUCAGUGUCACAAACUGUGAGAUCAUGACCUAAGCCAAGAUCAAGAGUCAGAUGCUUACCUGACUGAGCCACCCAGGCGCCCCUGUUAGAAGUAUUUUAGAUGAUUAAUGCCUUGUAGGUUACUGUUGUUAUUUUUUUAUUUUUUUAUUUUUAUUUCAAUGCUAUUUUUUUUAAUCAGUCUUUUUUUUUAAGUUUAUUCAUUUUUGAGAGAGAGGGAGGAUGAACAUGUGGGAGAGGGGCAGAGAGAGAGGGACAGAGAAUCUGAAGUGGGCUCUGCAGCAGAGGCCCAGGUGUGGGUCUCCAACUCACAGACUGAGAGAUGGUGCCCUGAGCCGAAGGCAGAUUUGAGCAAUGCUACUCUAUCAGGGAAAGCUGGCCUUUGGGGUGGUCCUGAGGCUCUGCUUUCUCCUGACCGAAGCCAAGUUGAGGUUUUCCACCAGGACUGGCCUGUGGGUGACAGAUGUGUAAUACCUGGUAGGCGUGUGUUAAGGUGGCCGACAGAACCUUCUCUGGUUGCUUUUGUGGAAUUGAGGUGCAGAUUUUAUCCGUGACUAAUCAUGAUCCCACAUGUGCAGGUAUUGUGAGAUAAUUGGUAAUGUUUGGAAAAUCUCAUCUUGGUUUGCUAAUUUGACCUCCUUUUAUGUGCCAGAUUUGGAGAUGAAAGUGGUAUUGUAUAGUUGAAUGAACAGAAGUUCUGUCAUCAGAGUGAUUGGGAUUGAAAUCCUGAGUAACAACGUAAGCCUGGGCAAGUAGCGUCUUUGAAUCUCAAUUUCUUUACUUGUAAACAUGGCACUAGUAUUACUUCGUAGGGUCUUCGGAAAAUUGAAUAAAAUCUUAGUGUGGUGCCUAGCAUACAGUAAGUACAAUAUUCUGUCAUCAAUAAUACAAGCUUCAGGCACCUGGCUGGCCCAGUUGGUGGAGCAUGCAACUCUCGAUCUCAGGGCCGUGAAUUCGAGCCCCACGUUGAGGACAGAGAUUGCUUAAAAAAAUAAAAUCUU